rnacentral:rRNA from 1 species
UGGGGAAUAUUGGGCAAUGGGCGAAAGCCUGACCCAGCGACGCCGCGUGAGGGAAGAAGAUCUUCGGAUUGUAAACCUUAGUCAACAGGGAAGAAGAAAGUGACGGUACCUGUGGAGGAAGCCACGGCUAACUACGUGCCAGCAGCCGCGGUAAUACGUAGGUGGCGAGCGUUAUCCGGAAUUACUGGGUGUAAAGGGAGCGUAGACGGAAUGGCAAGUCUGAUGUGAAAGGCCGGGGCUCAACCCCGGGACUGCAUUGGAAACUGUCAAUCUAGAGUACCGGAGGGGUAAGUGGAAUUCCUAGUGUAGCGGUGAAAUGCGUAGAUAUUAGGAGGAACACCAGUGGCGAAGGCGGCUUACUGGACGGUAACUGACGUUGAGGCUCGAAAGCGUGGGGAGCAAACAGGAUUAGAUACCCUGGUAGU